rnacentral:rRNA from 1 species
AUCUGCCCCUCACUUCGGGACAAGCCCUGGAAACGGGGUCUAAUACCGGAUGAUACCUCCACUCGCAUGGGUGGGGGUUGAAAGCUCCGGCGGUGAGGGAUGAGCCCGCGGCCUAUCAGCUAGUUGGUGAGGUAACGGCUCACCAAGGCGACGACGGGUAGCCGGCCUGAGAGGGCGACCGGCCACACUGGGACUGAGACACGGCCCAGACUCCUACGGGAGGCAGCAGUGGGGAAUAUUGCACAAUGGGCGCAAGCCUGAUGCAGCGGGGGGGGCGUGAGGGAUGACGGCCUUCGGGUUGUAAACCUCUUUCAGCAGGGAAGAAGCGCAAGUGACGGUACCUGCAGAAGAAGCGCCGGCUAACUACGUGCCAGCAGCCGCGGUAAUACGUAGGGCGCGAGCGUUGUCCGGAAUUAUUGGGCGUAAAGAGCUCGUAGGCGGCCUGUCGCGUCAAUUGUGAAAGCCCGGGGCUUAACCCCGGGUCUGCAGUCGAUACGGGCAGGCUAGAGUGUGGUAGGGGAGAUCGGAAUUCCUGGUGUAGCGGUGAAAUGCGCAGAUAUCAGGAGGAACACCGGUGGCGAAAGCGGAUCUCUGGGCCAU